rnacentral:rRNA from 4 species
ACGGGUGAGUAACGCGUGGGAAUCUACCCAUCUCUGCGGAAUAGCUCUGGGAAACUGGAAUUAAUACCGCAUACGCCCUACGGGGGAAAGAUUUAUCGGGGAUGGAUGAGCCCGCGUUGGAUUAGCUAGUUGGUGGGGUAAAGGCCUACCAAGGCGACGAUCCAUAGCUGGUCUGAGAGGAUGAUCAGCCACAUUGGGACUGAGACACGGCCCAAACUCCUACGGGAGGCAGCAGUGGGGAAUAUUGGACAAUGGGCGCAAGCCUGAUCCAGCCAUGCCGCGUGAGUGAUGAAGGCCUUAGGGUUGUAAAGCUCUUUCACCGAUGAAGAUAAUGACGGUAGUCGGAGAAGAAGCCCCGGCUAACUUCGUGCCAGCAGCCGCGGUAAUACGAAGGGGGCUAGCGUUGUUCGGAAUUACUGGGCGUAAAGCGCACGUAGGCGGAUAUUUAAGUCAGGGGUGAAAUCCCGCAGCUCAACUGCGGAACUGCCUUUGAUACUGGGUAUCUUGAGUAUGGAAGAGGUAAGUGGAAUUCCGAGUGUAGAGGUGAAAUUCGUAGA